rnacentral:lncRNA from 1 species
CAGGUCCGCACAAUGAGCACAUAUAUGGUAGCAGAUAUGAUGGCCUAAAGGGGGAUACAGGACUUCUUACCUUUUUAUGGCUGAAUAGUAUUCUGCUAUGCAUAUGGACUACAUUUCCUUUUUCUGUUCAUCAGUUGAUGGCCAUUUUGGUAUCCCCAUGUCUUGACUACUGGGAAUAGAGAUACAGUGAACAUAGGAAUACAGACUAAAGGAGUUAUUUUGGCCUACAGCUGAAAAGGAUGGCAUCAUAAUAGAAAUGAGAGUUGGAUGGAUUAUCAGAUAUAGAGAAAAACAGCUGCAUCCUCUCUCUGAGGCUGUUGACUGAAUCUAAGACUUCAUUACCAUGUCCAUCCAAAUAUGUCCUCGCUGCUGCCUCCACCAUCAUUAAGUAAAUGCU